rnacentral:pre_miRNA from 1 species
CGAUCACCUCGGUUGUUGCUUUUGUGAGUGUCACACAGGAAAGCAACGAGAGGGCAGGUCUGG